rnacentral:lncRNA from 1 species
GGCUCCCUGUUCUUCGGCCACCUGCACAGCGCCAUCUCUCUUUCCUCCCUCUCUCGCUGCUCCCUCCCCCGUCGCCCUGUUCCGCAUCCAAUGGCUAGAGGAUUUGGUGAUCCCGCCCCGCUCAACCGCGCCCGCUCCGCUUGUCGCCGCGGCCUGUGGCACGUCCUCACCACCCUCACGCCCCAUCUCUUCUCCCUCUCAUGAAGUUAGAUGUGGACAUCCGUGUGCUGCUUCAUAGACUUUCCAGUGGAGGAGGCGGAGAUGACCGUGGUGGCCGGCGAGGAUGGGGGCACUGGCGCCUAGGUCACACUCAUCAUGAAGCUAGGUGACAUGGCCAGUCCUUACCACUGGAGAGGACAAGGAUGUGGUCCACGACAUGUAAGGCAUCUGUGGCUGCUUCAAUCCUCCCAAGCUCUAAUCCAGUUUGGCUAUGUCUUGUUAAAAAUGUACAAUGAAAUUGCAAAUGAACAUCAACAUUUGUUUUAUCUUGAUUUAGAUCUUAAAAUCUGUGCGAUUGAUGGUAAAGUUGGUUUUGGACAUACAAUGCUUAAAAGUCAAGUAAUUGAAAUUGAUUGCUUAUAGGCUACUCGAUUAUAUAGUUGGAGAAACAUAUUUCAUCAAAUUGUUAACUUGUUAGACAUUUAAAUCAUAUUGUUGCUACAGAUUCUAAUACAUCCAUUUUACUGGUUCAUAAUGAUACUAUUUUCCAUGUUGUCUCUGCCCUUGCUGUUGACCAUACAGGAUCCAGAGUGCUCUCUGAUAGCUAUGAUUAUAUGCAUAUGUACGACUUCCAGGGU